rnacentral:rRNA from 1 species
GACGAACGCUGGCGGCGCGCCUAACACAUGCAAGUCGAACGAUCGAGAGAGAGCUUGCUUUCUCGAGCGAGUGGCGAACGGGUGAGUAACGCGUGAGGAACCUGCCUCAAAGAGGGGGACAACAGUUGGAAACGACUGCUAAUACCGCAUAAGCCCACGGUGCCGCAUGGCACAGAGGGAAAAGGAGCAAUCCGCUUUGAGAUGGCCUCGCGUCCGAUUAGCUAGUUGGUGAGGUAAUGGCCCACCAAGGCGACGACCGGUAGCCGGACUGAGAGGUUGAACGGCCACAUUGGGACUGAGACACGGCCCAGACUCCUACGGGAGGCAGCAGUGGGGAAUAUUGCACAAUGGGGGAAAACCUGAUGCAGCGACGCCGCGUGGAGGAAGAAGGUCUUCGGAUUGUAAACUCCUGUUGUUGGGGAAGAUAAUGACGGUACCCAACAAGGAAGUGACGGCUAACUACGUG